rnacentral:rRNA from 1 species
AUAGCGUAUAUUAAAGUUGUUGCAGUUAAAAAGCUCGUAGUUGAAUUUCGGGAUCAGUUGGUCGGUCGUGCCUCGGUACGUACUGGUCAAAUUGAUUCCUACCUUCUGACGAACCACGAUGUCAUUAAUUUGGUGUCGUGGGGAAUCAGGACUGUUACUUUGAAAAAAUUAGAGUGUUUAAAGCAGGCUCGCGCUUGAAUACAUUAGCAUGGAAUAAUGAAAUAGGACGUUUGAUUCUAUUUUGUUGGUUUCUAGGAUCGACGUAAUGAUUAAUAGGGAUAGUUGGGGGCAUUGGUAUUCAGUCGCUAGAGGUGAAAUUCUUGGAUUGACUGAAGACCAACUAUUG